CAGGCUGCAACUCGCCUGCACGAAGUUGGAAUUGCUAGUAAUGGCAGGUCAGCAUACUGCCGUGAAUACGUUCCCGGGCCUUGUACACACCGCCCGUCACACCAUGAGAGUUGGAGAUACCCGAAGUCCGUAGCCUAACCGCGAAGGGGGGGCGCGGCCGAAGGUGGGUUCGAUAAUUGGGGUGAAGUCGUAACAAGGUAUC
rnacentral:rRNA from 1 species